GUCCUCGUAGCUUAAACUCAGAGCAUGGCACUGAAGAUGCCAAGAUGGGUAUCACCCCAAGGACA
rnacentral:tRNA from 1 species